UCAUCAGACCCCAGCCCAGUUUUAUCCAGUAAAGCGAAUGAUUAGAGGUCUUGGGGCCGAAACGAUCUCAACCUAUUCUCAAACUUUAAAUGGGUAAGAAGCCCGGCUCACUGGCAUGGAGCCGGGCGUGGAAUGUGAGUGCCUAGUGGGCUACUUUUGGUAAGCAGAACAGAUCCCUGUGAAUUCAAUCC
rnacentral:ncRNA from 1 species